AUAUUCAGAAAGUAGAAGCAAUUUUCAUGUGAUAGGUCAUUAAUGCCAAUUUUAUGUAUCUGCAAAUGAGGAUGUGGGGGGUUCCAGGAAGUUAUUUAAAUGCUUUUGGUGCACAGUUCCUUUACCCUGCCUAGGGUUACCUACAACAUACCUUUGGGGAACUUUGCCUGCUUCUUUGCUAGGCUGGGGUCCCAUUCUCUUGGAUCCUCUGCUAAUCUGCCGAUCAAUCUUGUAGAGAUUGCAGAGAUGUUAAUGACUUUAUUUGACUUUUCUACUUAGAGACAGAUAGAUUAAGAAGUGUUUCAGGCUGUGGCCAGCUGGGACCAUUCAGCAGCCUU
rnacentral:lncRNA from 1 species